rnacentral:rRNA from 1 species
GGAACUGAUAAGCGCUGAAAGCAUCUAAGCGCGAAGCAGGCCUCGAGAUGAGUUCUCACUAGAGCUAUAAGCUCUCUGAAGGGCCGUUGGAGACUACAACGUUGAUAGGCUGGGUGUGGAAGCAUGGUGACAUGUUAAGCUAACCAGUACUAAUUACCCGUGAGGCUUAACCAUACAACGCCAAAGUGGUUU